GGGAAAAUAAGAGAGUAGGGUCAGAAGCAGCCUUAAUAAGGCUCUCCUUGAGUUGCAAGGAGGUGAAUUCCCAGAAAACAGAGCUGCUUGAGGUCAGACGGGGCAGGAGAUGCUGCAGACCCUACCCCUGGGGAGGAAUUCAGGGGAAGUCUCCUAAGUGAGAGCUUGGAACAGAUUCAGUGAAAUGAGCUCAACAGCUAAGGUUAGGUACCCCACAUGGGGUCCUCAUAAC
rnacentral:RNase_P_RNA from 2 species